rnacentral:rRNA from 1 species
CAAAGGAAUUGACGGGGACCCGCACAAGUAGCGGAGCAUGUGGUUUAAUUCGAAGCAACGCGAAGAACCUUACCUAAGCUUGACAUCCCAAUGACAUCUCCUUAAUCGGAGAGUUCCCUUCGGGGACAUUAGUGACAGGUGGUGCAUGGUUGUCGUCAGCUCGUGUCGUGAGAUGUUGGGUUAAGUCCCGCAACGAGCGCAACCCUUGUCUUUAGUUGCCAUCAUUAAGUUGGGCACUCUAGAGAGACUGCCAGGGAUAACCUGGAGGAAGGUGGGGAUGACGUCAAAUCAUCAUGCCCCUUAUGCUUAGGGCUACACACGUGCUACAAUGGGUAGUACAGAGGGUUGCCAAGCCGUAAGGUGGAGCUAAUCCCUUAAAGCUACUCUCAGUUCGGAUUGUAGGCUGAAACUCGCCUACAUGAAGCUGGAGUUACUAGUAAUCGCAGAUCAGAAUGCUGCGGUGAAUGCGUUCCCGGGUCUUGUACACACCGCCCGUCACACCACGGGAGUUGGAGACGCCCGAAGCCGAUUAUCUAACCUUUUGGAAGAAGUCGUCGAAGGUGGAAUCAAUAACUGGGGUGAAGUCGUAACAAGGUAGCCGUAUCGGAAGGUGCGGCUG